rnacentral:lncRNA from 1 species
CACCAUGCUGGAUUUUGACGUAAUUUCUUCUUAUGUUGCUUGCAGGUGGCAGAGGUGUAUUUGAAUGUCGGCAGCACCCUGACAGCAAUUAGAACGUCCUCCGUCUGCUAGUCUUCUUGAUCCUUGAAUUCUGUGAAGCUAAGAUAGACAACAAAGCUUUGUGGAACUGAUUAGGUGUUCGCAUAAAUAUCUAGCCUUUCUCAUGUUGAGCCUCCUCAAUAAAUGCUACUUUCUUUGGUAGGAUCACAAUUUUAUAUUUUUAUGGAGCAGAAGAAUAUUUUUUUUAUUUUUUUAUGCCACCACAAUGAAUGUACUUAUGGAUUUUAUGCCACUUGUAUACUCACAUGGGGCUUACUAGUUUUAACAUUUUUAUUUUUUCUUUUCAAGAUGAUAUAAACCUGAUUAACUAAGCAAACUAUUUUAAAUAAUUGAAAGGAAAAGGAUAACUACCAAGUUUACCUCUUGGCGAGGCGUUCGGCGUUUUUAAGUCCUCCGAACGGGAGUCUCUGUUUUCUGAGUUGUCCUGGGAUUCGCUGGAUGGUGUAGUCGGUGGUUCCAGUGGUGCCUCCUCUUCGUGUAUAACUAUCUUCUCUCUCCACACCUAACUCGGUGCUACGGUCUCCAUAGGACAGUUCUCUUCAAGCUGUAUGUCUUCAGACCUUACAACUUCUCCUUCAUAGUCUGCCCAUCCGUCCUUGAUGAUUUGCCUCCUCUGGUUGCGGUUGCGUUGUCUUCUUCUUGUCCUCACCUGCUUAGAGUCUUCAACUAUAUAGUUAGGGUCAGUAAAAUCGCAGCGUACCUUCUCAGAGGGGAAGUGCAUGUGGACUUCUCCGGUUCCAAUGUAGAUGAUUGCUUUAACGGUGCUGAGGAACGGUCUCCCAAGUAUGAUGGGUGGAUCGUACUCGUCUUCUCCUAUGUCAAUAACCUGAAAAUCUAUAUGGACAAAAUGAUCAUCUGUUUUGACAGGGACAUCAGUUACUAUACCUUCAACCUUUCAGAAUGUCUGAUCUGCCAUCUGGAGGUGAAUGUAUGUCGGUUUUAGGGGCAUGGUUCUGAACAGGAGCUGAUAGGUUACUGCGGCCAUUAUGUUGACGCCCAACCCGGUGUCGCAAAGCGUCUUCUGGAAGUUGUAUCCAUUAAUGGAGCACUGGAUCCUUGGCAUACCUGUGUCGUCCUUCUUGGUCAAGAACGGUGACUUGAGUCGACGAUCUUGACCUCCAUGAACUGCAGUGACCAUCUUAGCUGACUCAGUCCACACUUGCUUGUUCCUAUUCCUCCUGUUGGUCCUCUUCCUUGGUUCAUGUCGGGAUUGCUCUAGGAUUUGUGCAGUCUUGUUCUUGAAGGAAAACGUCUCCUUCCUCCCCUUGAUGUAGAAACUGAUCUUGGCAGCACUAGCGUAGAUGACAGCUCCCGAGGAGUUCAGGAAUGGCCUCCCUAAGAUGACGGGAGCCCUCUCAUCAGAACCGGUCUCUAUCACCACAAAGUCUGCUGGAGCUUACAAGGUACCAACUCGGACACAGAGGUUCUUCAAGAUUCCCUUUGGGAAACUUAGCAUACGAUCUGCAAGUUGCAAACACAUGGUUGUUUCUAAUAAAGGAUGUGUAAAGAAUUUUUCAUAGAGUAGCCUGGGCAUAAUGUUGACGCUAGAGCCAAAGUCGCAGAGUGCUUCUGGGAAGUCCAUCAUGCCGAUGGAGAUCGGGAUGACGGGGCGUCCUGGAUCGCCUCUCUUGACCGGCAGAAGGUCAGUAGUUACUUCCACAAUGGGGUUACUCCAGUAGUUACCUAUAUCAAACAUGUCUACAAGAUUUGUAGAUUCUAAUCCUUACGGUUGUGAUGGUAUACCGGGGUUAGUAGUAGGAACAACAACAGCUAUUUGAUUUAACUGAGAUUCAAUCAUUUUAUUAAAGCUAAUUUGAUUCUUGAUGGCAGUAGAGAAAUUAUCCAUUCUAUUAUUUAUAUUUUCUAACAUUUUAUCAUUAGAUGCCAAUUUGUUAGAUAGGUUAUCCAUUAGCUUUCCUUGAUUAGACACUAACUCUCUCAGAGGUGGAAAAUUAUUAUUACUAUUGAAAGAAUUAUUACCUUGAUAAUUACCUAAGUAGUUAGGCCUCUGUUGAUUCCAACCUUGAUUUUGUUGAGGACGGUUGUAGUAGUAGUAGUAGUUGUUGAUGUAGUUCACGUCCUCAAGCAUCUCAGGGCAGUGAUAUUGCCUAAGUGUCCAGUAUCUCCACACUCCUCAGAAGUCAUGUGAGAGUCAUAGACGUGCAUGACUUCUUUCUUAUCUCCAGCUCUAUCAUCGAGCUUCUUCAUGAGGAGGUCAAGCUUAGCAGAUAGCAUGUCUACCUCCUUGAGCUAGUGCAUACCUCCACCUCUCUUGCGUGUCUGGGUCCUUUCUUCAUUCCAGCCUUGGUUGGAUGCCAUCUUCUCCACAAGAGCUGUGGCUUGUGGUAUGGUGAGUGACAGGAAUGCUCCUCCAGCUACAGCAUCCAUGGUCUCACGGGCACUAUUGCUGAGCCCAUGAUAAAAUGUUUGCAUCAAUAGCCAGCUCUCCAUUCCAUGAUGGGGACAUUCCAGGAUGUAGUCUUGGAAGCGCUCCCAUGCUUCUGGAACAGAUUCAUCACGUUGUUGCUGAAAACUUAUAAUUUUACCACGGAGAGCAUUGGUCUUGCCCAUGGGAAAGAACUUAGCCAGAAAGUUCAUGGAGCAGAGUGCCCACGUAGUAUUCUUCUCCUUUGUAGCGUAGAACCACUGCUUCGCUCUCCCCAACAGUGAGAAUGGGAAGAGGCAAAGUAGUAUAGCAUCUCUGGGGACUCCUGACAUGGUGAAUGUGCUGCAAAUCUCCAGGAAGUGUUGGAGAUGAGCACUAGCAUCUUCAUGCGCCUUCCCACAGAACUGGUUGGCUUGCACCAUGUUGAUGAGCCCAGGCUUGAGAUCAAAGUUGCGGUCGAUCUGUAUAGCAGGUCCAGUGCGGAUGUUAUCUGUAUUGGGAGCUGAGAACUCGCGGAUCAACUUGUUCGCCAUGGCUUCGAACUCUGAAGACAAGUUUCGGAUGAAACUUCAGCGGUCUUCUGGUUUAGACAAAGCUUUGCGUUGAAGUGUUGACGAUCUGAACUUGGCUUUGGUUUUUCUGAAUAACGCUUCGGGGUCGUCAACAAAAUUUUCUAGAAGAUGUCUUCUAUUCAUACAUCACCCUACAUAAAAUAAUAAAAAAUAGCAAAACACAGGGGUGAAGCUGUACAAGAGAAUUGAUGAUCUCAAUCAUAUUAGUGAUGCGAAUGAUGACUCAUAAUUCUGUAUUCAUUCCUUAUUAGUAAUCAACCUUGCUCGGCAACAGUGCUAAAAAUACUUGUUGGGCAUUCUUAACGUCAUUACCAAAAGUAGACUUAGUUUUCUAGUUCUGAUAACGGCGGCAAAAAUGCCGAACCUAUCCCUCAUGCCACUUAAGCCAAGUUGUCAUCCCCAGCAUGACAUGAGAGACGCGGUAUUGAAAUAUGCAAUUGCUCUUCUGAAUAAAUAAUAAAUGAGACCUACAUGCGCACAGAUUAAUACCGAUGUAACAUUUUAACCGGAAAGUAUUCCAGGUAUCGUUAUUUAUAUUUUCACCACUGGGAAGAGAUUGCUAAUCAUCAAUGUUGAUUAUGGAAUGAAAUAUGGAAUUAAGUAUCUAUCAUUGCAUGUGUAAUAGAGAGCAUUUAUCUAUCUCUUCCAUACAGGGAUAAAUGUCACAUAAAAUAUAGAUAAAGUAUGAAUGGUGACAAAGAUAAUUAAUCUGAUCAGCAUAACUAGCCACAUAUAAUAAUGACAAGCACCUCAACAGAUACUCUAGAAAGUCAUUAGCAUGGAAUUAGGAUGAACUACAAGAAUAUUUCCUAUGUUAUUCUUAACUAUAAAGUCUAGCAUAUCAUAGUUAGUGCAAUUAUACUUGGCAAUCAUUGCGAGACAGGACUACGCCCAUGUAUAAUAUUAUCAUGGAAGAUGAGAAACAUAGCAAUUACUCCCCUGUAAUAAUGUUGCUCUGCCUGCCCUAUACAUGGGAGGGGGACUAUAUAAGAAUCAAUGGAGCUGUCACCACCAUGAACUACCCUGCGAUCUGGCAUAUAGGGUACAAUCGCAGAUAAAUACGGUAUAGGCACCACGCCUACACAAUACUUAUCAUUUACCCACUGUACACAUGGAUAAACGCUAUACGAUCCUAAACAUGUAUAUAAUUCCAAUCUAACUAAGCCAAGCAUAUAACUAUGAUAAACUAAGAAUGAUAUAAUUGCAAAUAUAAACAAGUAGAGCAAGGUCAUAAUCAAUAUAUUGAAGUAGAACAAAGUCAUAUUCAUAAUAUUGAACAACAAUGAUGAGCAAAUGAAGAACAGUAGAGGAAUUACCAAGAAUCCUCUUGACUGAUCCAGAAACCAAUCGAAGAUUGACUCCUUCUAGUUCUAAUCCUAUGUAGCUAUGCUAAACUAGAGAUCUAGUUGAUGUGGUGGCUCUAGGGCUUGAUCAGAGACUUCUUCUCCCGAGAUGAAUGAAUGAAUUAGGGUUUUUCAGAGGUCCUCCUCUCCAGGGGCCAGGGGGCCUGCUUAUAUAGUCCUUCGAAAUGAAUAUGCGUCGUCAGAUCAAACCGACCAUAAUCACACGGUUUUCCUUAAUCCUCUAGGUUGGUGGAGCAUGAUCCACGAGACUCAGCCUGAUUAGCUGCUGAGCCAGGGCGGGCGCCCAAGGGGGAGGGCGGGCGCCCUGUCCCUGGGCCCGCUCGGCCUCCCGCUCGUUCCCGUGGCUUCUGGACUCUUCUAGGUUAGGGAAAAUUGCGCGGCACAUAAUUAUCUCUAUGUAAACCCGACAUGUGGGCCUUUCCUCUAUAUUUCCUGAUAACCCCCUGCAGAAAUAGACAAACACCAAAACUCGUGGAAUUCUGUCAGAUAAAACCCUAAGUCUGGGUGUCGGUUGCAUUUGGGUUCUUUUCUCUAUUUGUUUGUUGAUUAUAUUUGAUACUUAAGGACCGUCAACAAACUCCCCCAAGCUUACCUCUUGCUCGUACCUGAGCAAGGAUAAUCUCAGUGAUGGAUCAGAAGUUACGUAAUGCCUUUGAGUUUUGAUGGUACACAUGCUUUCAAAUAAUGUCUCAUCUCUGAGUCAGAGUAAACCGUCAAGACUUAAAACUUACUCAUUUUACCUUUCACCAUGGGACUUGUAACCGUCACUUCUGUUUUGAGCAGUUAAAAGAUAGAACAGUCUAGUCAAGCGCCAUGUCUCUUAUUCUUCAUCAGCUAUAGCUAUGGAGUUUUUGCAGAUUUUCAAAUAAAACUCAGAGAUUCCUUGUAUGACUCUCUCAGAUCUCUCUUUUAUGGUAUUUUUGGAUCCUUACUAAGGCAGUGAUGGUCUAUGCCUUCUCUCAAAGUAUGAAGCAUAGUGACCUUGCCUUCUCUCUCACCCUACUUUAAUAAGGCUUUUGAUAUCUAGAGCUCAUAGGUGGGAGAUAAAGUAUACAUACUUACAAGACAUUUAUUGCAUAGUCAAACCAUGGAUCUAGAGAAACAAGUCAAUAAGUCAAAUCAAGAUGUGCAUGUGUGGUGAAUGAAUGGUGUAUGGUGAUGAUGGUGAUAACACUGGUGAAAAUCUAAUUCUACUUUUUGCUCUUUUGAGGGGAUACAUACCUUUCUUGCUCUUUUGAAACUUUUUGAGGAGAAUGAGAUGCUCUACAUUUUCUUUUUCUUUCCUCUUAGGUGGGUGUUGCACCCCUAAUUCUAGUGUCAGACACUUGUCCAUUUUUACCUCUCGUCUCACAUUUUCUUUUCUUUCGAGGUUCUGGACACUUGCCCCUUUUUAUUUCUUCGUAUCCUUUCUCUCUCUCUCUUCUUUUUUUAGAGCACUCAUUUCCUGAAAUAAUAUAGCAAGUGGUAGUAACCAAGAUAACUCGAGCAUUUAUUUCACAGGGAAAAACAGAAAUAGGAGAAUAUUUUUGGCUAUUCUCUCCCGGAUUAGGAGUAGAAUACUUUUGGGUCGCUCUAGAGAUGGGAAUGAGUGGAUAUAUGUGGAUGCAUACUUCUAGAGUAGAAGCAGCAUGUGUGAGUAAACGUGCAAGUGAAUCUUGAUUUAACCACAUGACAAGCUCCUAAGGGCGUACACAGCUUGACCACACUCAAUGCUCAUAAGCAGUAAAAAGUAAGUGUGUGGCUUAAAGUCUAGCAAGCAUGUAUAUAUGGUUGUGGUAGGAAUUUAAACUCUCAUCAUACAGGAACUCAUCAUGUGUUAUUUUAACGAUUUUCAAAGAUAAAAUUCACCAGAUUUCUAGCAUCUCUGGGAAUAGAUAAACAGCAGCUCAACCUUCUCAUAUCAUAUCCGUUAACAACUUAGACUUCCGAUCAAGUUCUCUUCCCACAAGUUCAGGAUUUUAGAACAAGGUUUAAAUUAUAACAGUUAUGUCUAAACUAGAGAGAGAACUUCAAAUUUGAAAAUUAGGCAGAGCAACUAUUCAUCAUAUCCAUGAUAGAGUUUUAUUAAGAUUUAGUUUAGCAUAGCCACUUUAUUUAUUUAUGAAGCACACUAAGCAAAAGAUAUAUAUAUAUAAGCACAAAAUCUUAAUUUGGUUUUUCAUGGUUAUGUAUAUUUUUUAUUUAAAUAUAGUAUAAGUAUAUAGAUAGAUAGGAAUACUUAACGGGAUAACUGGGGGUCCUCUCCCCCAAGCUGGAUUUUGACGUAAUUUCUUUUGAUGUAGCUAGUAGGUGGCAGAGGUAUAUUUGAAUGUCGGCAGCACCCUAACAGCGAUUAGAAUGUCCUCCGUCUGCUAGUCUUCUUGAUCCUUGAAUUCUGUGGAGCUGAAAUAGACAACAAAGCUUUGUGGAACAGAUUAGGUGUCAGCAUAAAUAUCUAGCCUUUAUCAUGUUGAGCCUCCUCAAUAAAUGCUACUUUCUUUGGUAGGAUCACAAUUUUAUAUUUUUAUAGAGCAGAAGAAUAUUUUUAUUUUAUUAUUUUUUUAUGUCACCACAGUGAAUGUACUUAUGGGUUUUAUGCCACUUGUAUACUCACAUAGGGCUUACUGGUUUUAACAUUUUUAUUUUUUCGUUCCAAGAUAUAAACUUGAUUAACUAAGCAAACUAUUUUAAAUAAUUGAAAGAAAAAGGAUAACUACCAAGUUUACCUCUUUGCAAGGCGUUCGGCGUUUUUAAGUCCUCCGAACGGGACUCUCUGUUUUCUCAGUCGUCCUGGGAUUCGCUGAAUGGCGUAGUCGGUGGUUCCAGCGGUGCCUCCUCUUCGUGUAUAACUAUCUUCUCUCUCCACACCUAACUCGGUGCUACGGUCUCCUUAGGACAGUUCUGUUCAUGCUGUAUGUCUUCAGACCUUACCACUUCUCCUUCGUAGUCUGCCCAUCCGUCCUUGAUGAUUUGCCUCCUCUGGUUGCGGUUACAUCGUAUUCUUCUUGUCCUCACCUACUUAGAGUCUUCAACUAUAUAGUUAGGGUCAGUAAAAUAGCGGCGUACCUUCUGAGAGGGGAAGUGCAUGUGGACUUCUCCGGUUCCAAUGUAGAUGAUUGCUUUAACGGUGCUGAGGAACGGUCUCCCAAGGAUGACGGGUGGAUCGUACUCGUCUUCUCCCAUGUCAAUAACCUGAAAAUCUGUAUAGACAAAAUGAUCAUCUAUUUUGACAGGGACAUCAGUUACUAUACCUUCAUCCUUUCAGAAUGUCUGAUCUGCCAUCUGGAGGUGAAUGUAUAUCGGUUUUAGAGGUAUGGUUCUGAACAGGAGCUGAUAGGUUACUGCGGCCAUUAUGUUGACGCCCGACCUGGUGUCGCAAAGCGUCUUCUGGAAGUUGU